UUUACAUAAACCUAGUAUUUCAAGAUAUUUGAAUGGUUAACAGGACAAUAGAAGAAAGCCUUAAGUACCUUUGAUAAAAUUUGUGACAUAGUGCUCUGCAGAUGGCUUCAGAGAGCACUAACAAAUAUUUUGAGAUCAUACCAUUUUUCAUUUGCUCAUUGGGUAAUCAACAAAUUUGAUAUCAGUAAUCACAUUUAAGCUUUGCUCUGUUCAUCUUUGAGGGAACUCUGAAUAUAAGUAAUCAAAUGCAUUCCUCAUUUUGUCAGAUCUGGGUUUCUAGUUACACUGAGGUUAUUCAAAGAUCAAGAAACUCAACUCAAAGUGGAUCAAAGACUGGGGGUCUAGAACAGAGGAGACCCUGCACCUAACAGAAGGAAAAGUAGGCCCAAAUAUUCACCAUAUCAGCAUAGGAUCUGACUUCCUUAACAGAACUCCUAGAGCACAAGAAAUAAAAUCAAGAAUCAAUAAAUGGAGAUGGAUUCAAACUAAAAACCUUCUUCUCAGCAAAGGAAACAAUCAAUAAUUUGAAGAGAGAGCCUACAGUAUGGGAGAAAAUCUUUACCACAUGCACUUCAGAUAGAACAUUAAUCUUCAAGAUAUAUAAAGAGCUCAAAAAAUUUAACACCAAAAAAACAAAUAACCCAAUUAACAAAUGGUCUAAGGAACUGAACAGACACUUCGUAGAAGAAGAAAUACAGUCCAUCAACAAACAUACGAAAAAAU
rnacentral:lncRNA from 1 species